rnacentral:rRNA from 1 species
GAUGAACGCUGGCGGCGUGCCUAAUACAUGCAAGUCGAGCGAACGGACGAGAAGCUUGCUUCUCUGAUGUUAGCGGCGGACGGGUGAGUAACACGUGGAUAACCUACCUAUAAGACUGGGAUAACUUCGGGAAACCGGAGCUAAUACCGGAUAAUAUUUUGAACCGCAUGGUUCAAAAGUGAAAGACGGUCUUGCUGUCACUUAUAGAUGGAUCCGCGCUGCAUUAGCUAGUUGGUAAGGUAACGGCUUACCAAGGCAACGAUGCAUAGCCGACCUGAGAGGGUGAUCGGCCACACUGGAACUGAGACACGGUCCAGACUCCUACGGGAGGCAGCAGUAGGGAAUCUUCCGCAAUGGGCGAAAGCCUGACGGAGCAACGCCGCGUGAGUGAUGAAGGUCUUCGGAUCGUAAAACUCUGUUAUUAGGGAAGAACAUAUGUGUAAGUAACUGUGCACAUCUUGACGGUACCUAAUCAGAAAGCCACGGCUAACUACGUGCCAGCAGCCGCGGUAAUACGUAGGUGGCAAGCGUUAUCCGGAAUUAUUGGGCGUAAAGCGCGCGUAGGCGGUUUUUUAAGUCUGAUGUGAAAGCCCACGGCUCAACCGUGGAGGGUCAUUGGAAACUGGAAAACUUGAGUGCAGAAGAGGAAAGUGGAAUUCCAUGUGUAGCGGUGAAAUGCGCAGAGAUAUGGAGGAACACCAGUGGCGAAGGCGACUUUCUGGUCUGUAACUGACGCUGAUGUGCGAAAGCGUGGGGAUCAAACAGGAUUAGAUACCCUGGUAGUCCACGCCGUAAACGAUGAGUGCUAAGUGUUAGGGGGUUUCCGCCCCUUAGUGCUGCAGCUAACGCAUUAAGCACUCCGCCUGGGGAGUACGACCGCAGGGUUGAAACUCAAAGGAAUUGACGGGGACCCGCACAAGCGGUGGAGCAUGUGGUUUAAUUCGAAGCAACGCGAAGAACCUUACCAAAUCUUGACAUCCUUUGACAACUCUAGAGAUAGAGCCUUCCCCUUCGGGGGACAAAGUGACAGGUGGUGCAUGGUUGUCGUCAGCUCGUGUCGUGAGAUGUUGGGUUAAGUCCCGCAACGAGCGCAACCCUUAAGCUUAGUUGCCAUCAUUAAGUUGGGCACUCUAAGUUGACUGCCGGUGACAAACCGGAGGAAGGUGGGGAUGACGUCAAAUCAUCAUGCCCCUUAUGAUUUGGGCUACACACGUGCUACAAUGGACAACACAAAGGGCAGCGAAACCGCGAGGUCAAGCAAAUCCCAUAAAGUUGUUCUCAGUUCGGAUUGUAGUCUGCAACUCGACUACAUGAAGCUGGAAUCGCUAGUAAUCGUAGAUCAGCAUGCUACGGUGAAUACGUUCCCGGGUCU